AAGGAAUAUUGCUCAAUGGGAGAAAUCCUGAAGCAGCAACGCCGCGUGGAGGAUGAAGGGUCUAUGACUUGUAAACUCCUGUAAAGAAGGAAAAAAUUCCCAUUAGAUGGGAGAUGAUGGUACUUCUGGAGUAAGCCCCGGCUAACUACGUGCCAGCAGCCGCGGUAAUACGUAGGGGGCAAGCGUUGUCCGGAUUUACUGGGUGUAAAGGGUGCUCAGGCGGAUUUGUAAGUCAGAGGUGAAAUCUUACAGCUUAACAGUGAAACUGCCUUUGAUACUGCAAGCCUAGAGUAUGGAAGAGAGUGAUGGAAUAUCUGGUGUAGCAGUGAAAUGCGUAGAUAUCAGAUAGAACACCAAUGGCGAAGGCAGUCACUUGGUCCAUUACUGACGCUAAAGCACGAAAGCGUGGGUAGCAAACA
rnacentral:rRNA from 1 species